UAAUACGGAGGAUCCAAGCGUUAUCCGGAAUCAUUGGGUUUAAAGGGUCCGCAGGCGGUCUGAUAAGUCAGAGGUGAAAUCCUAUCGCUUAACGAUAGAACUGCCUUUGAUACUGUCAGACUUGAGUUAUUGUGAAGUAGUUAGAAUGUGUAGUGUAGCGGUGAAAUGCAUAGAUAUUACACAGAAUACCGAUUGCGAAAGCAGAUUACUAACAAUAUACUGACGCUCAGGGACGAAAGCGUGGGUAGCGAACAGGAUUAGAUACCCUGGUAGUCCACGCCGUAAACGAUGGUCACUAGCUGUUUGAUACACAUUGGUGUGUUGAGUGGCCAAGCGAAAGUGAUAAGUGACCCACCUGGGGAGUACGCUCGCAAGAGUG
rnacentral:rRNA from 1 species